GAAUUUUCCGCAAUGGGCGAAAGCCUGACGGAGCAAUACCGCGUGAGGGAAGACUGCCUAUGGGUUGUAAACCUCUUUUUUCAGGGAGGAAUAAAAUGACGUGUACCUGAAGAAUAAGCAUCGGCUAACUCCGUGCCAGCAGCCGCGGUAAGACGGAGGAUGCAAGUGUUAUCCGGAAUCACUGGGCGUAAAGCGUCUGUAGGUGGUUUAAUAAGUCAACUGUUAAAUCUUGAGGCUCAACUUCAAAAUCGCAGUCGAAACUAUUAGACUAGAGUAUAGUAGGGGUAAAGGGAAUUUCCAGUGGAGCGGUGAAAUGCGUAGAUAUUGGAAAGAACACCGAUGGCGAAAGCACUUUACUGGGCUAUUACUAACACUCAGAGACGAAAGCUAGGGUAGCAAAUGGGAUUAGAUACCCCAGUAGUCCUAGCCCGUAAACUAUGGAUACUAGA
rnacentral:rRNA from 1 species